CACGUGUUUAAAAGAAAAAUUCAAAUUCCCGACCCCCUUCAAAUUCCCCACCUUCCACUAGGAAAAAAGGUCAAAUUCCCGCCUUCUUAAAAUACUAAACAAGCAAAUUCCCCAGGUAUGCCCGGGGGGGGGGAUGUCAAGGUUUCGAUUUGAUUCGCGCAUUAUUCAUCAAGUGGAUGUUUAUAUUCGGCAAUAUGGCUGCCUUCAAGGAGUGCGCGUUCGAAAUACGGUAUACUGCUUGUUUUCUAUGGAUUAAUGGAGAUAAUUUGCAAACAGAAAGAAAGAAAGUAACAAAAUGGACAAUUAUAAAGUAGACGUAAGCAACAAUAUCGAAGAAACGUCAAUUAUGAAGCC